UACGAAGGGGGCUAGCGUUGCUCGGAAUUACUGGGCGUAAAGGGCGCGUAGGCGGACAGUUUAGUCAGAGGUGAAAGCCCAGGGCUCAACCCUGGAAUUGCCUUUGAUACUGGCUGUCUUGAGUACGGGAGAGGUGUGUGGAACUCCGAGUGUAGAGGUGAAAUUCGUAGAUAUUCGGAAGAACACCAGUGGCGAAGGCGACACACUGGCCCGUUACUGACGCUGAGGUGCGAAAGCGUGGGGAGCAAACAGG
rnacentral:rRNA from 1 species